rnacentral:rRNA from 1 species
GACGAACGCUGGCGGCGUGCUUAACACAUGCAAGUCGAACGGAAAGGCCCUGCUUUUGUGGGGUGCUCGAGUGGCGAACGGGUGAGUAACACGUGAGUAACCUGCCCUUGACUUUGGGAUAACUUCAGGAAACUGGGGCUAAUACCGGAUAGGAGCUCCUGCUGCAUGGUGGGGGUUGGAAAGUUUCGGCGGUUGGGGAUGGACUCGCGGCUUAUCAGCUUGUUGGUGGGGUAGUGGCUUACCAAGGCUUUGACGGGUAGCCGGCCUGAGAGGGUGACCGGCCACAUUGGGACUGAGAUACGGCCCAGGCUCCUACGGGAGGCAGCAGUGGGGAAUAUUGCACAAUGGGCGGAAGCCUGAUGCAGCAACGCCGCGUGCGGGAUGACGGCCUUCGGGUUGUAAACCGCUUUCGCCUGUGACGAAGCGUGAGUGACGGUAAUGGGUAAAGAAGCACCGGCUAACUACGUGCCAGCAGCCGCGGUGAUACGUAGGGUGCGAGCGUUGUCCGGAUUUAUUGGGCGUAAAGGGCUCGUAGGUGGUUGAUCGCGUCGGAAGUGUAAUCUUGGGGCUUAACCCUGAGCGUGCUUUCGAUACGGGUUGACUUGAGGAAGGUAGGGGAGAAUGGAAUUCCUGGUGGAGCGGUGGAAUGCGCAGAUAUCAGGAGGAACACCAGUGGCGAAGGCGGUUCUCUGGGCCUUUCCUGACGCUGAGGAGCGAAAGCGUGGGGAGCGAACAGGCUUAGAUACCCUGGUAGUCCACGCUGUAAACGGUGGGUACUAGGUGUGGGGUCCAUUCCACGGGUUCCGUGCCGUAGCUAACGCUUUAAGUACCCCGCCUGGGGAGUACGGCCGCAAGGCUAAAACUCAAAGGAAUUGACGGGGCCCCGCACAAGCGGCGGAGCAUGCGGAUUAAUUCGAUGCAACGCGUAGAACCUUACCUGGGUUUGACAUGGAUCGGGAGCGCUCAGAGAUGGGUGUGCCUCUUUUGGGGUCGGUUCACAGGUGGUGCAUGGCUGUCGUCAGCUCGUGUCGUGAGAUGUUGGGUUAAGUCCCGCAACGAGCGCAACCCUUGUUCACUGUUGCCAGCACGUUAUGGUGGGGACUCAGUGGAGACCGCCGGGGUCAACUCGGAGGAAGGUGGGGAUGACGUCAAGUCAUCAUGCCCCUUAUGUCCAGGGCUUCACGCAUGCUACAAUGGCUGGUACAGAGAGUGGCGAGCCUGUGAGGGUGAGCGAAUCUCGGAAAGCCGGUCUCAGUUCGGAUUGGGGUCUGCAACUCGACCUCAUGAAGUCGGAGUCGCUAGUAAUCGCAGAUCAGCAACGCUGCGGUGAAUACGUUCCCGGGGCU